rnacentral:tRNA from 1 species
GGCCCUGUAGUUCACCGGAUAGAACGCGGACGUCCUAAGUCUGAUGCAGGGGGUUCGAUUCCCUCCAGGGCCGCCA